AGAUGGCGACCGGCGCACGGGUGAGUAACACGUAUCCAACCUGCCCUUUACUCGGGGAUAGCCUUUCGAAAGAAAGAUUAAUACCCGAUAGCAUAAUGAUUCCGCAUGGUUUCAUUAUUAAAGGAUUCCGGUAAAGGAUGGGGAUGCGUUCCAUUAGGUUGUUGGUGAGGUAACGGCUCACCAAGCCUUCGAUGGAUAGGGGUUCUGAGGGGAAGGUCCCCCACAUUGGAACUGAGACACGGUCCAA
rnacentral:rRNA from 1 species